AAUGAGGAAUGAGGAUCACUUGUAUGCAUUUGUGGAUCCUGGCCGCAUCUCUAAUGAAGCUAGAAAGGUUGAGGCUAGAUCAUGUGCGCUAUCACUGAGAUUAGAAUCUGCCAAAUUAGAUCAGUUAAUUCUUGCUUCUUAUAAUACAGGGAAUCAUUGGUUAUUGGCUGCUAUUAACACGUUUACUACAUUGGUGUAUUACUUCGACCCAUUGAGUAACAUUAACAUCAAUCCAGGCAUGAAGAACAUUAUAGAGCUGUAAUAAUUCUGUCCUUUACUUUUCAUUUCGAAAAUUGAAUAAAAUGAUAUGCUGGAGUGGUCAUCAGAUCAUUGGCUUACUAUUUUGUUAUUGAGCUGUUCAUGAUGUAGUUCCAUUAAGAUGUUUAAUGCUCAAAAGGGAAGAAAGUCUCGUAAACCAGUUCAUUGGGAGGUGGUUAAGUGUCCUAGACAACCUGGAUCUGUGGAAUGUGGAUAUUAUGUUAUGAAGUACAUGAAAGAAAUUAUUGGAACUCCAAGCAGCUCAAUUUUAAAUAUGUUCGAGGGAAAAGAGACUUACACUCAAGAAGAGAUUGAUGUAGUUCGAAUAGAAUGGGCGGAGCAGGUUGAUGGAUAUAUUGAAGAUGAAGUAAAAUAGUCAGCAUGUAUUACUUGUUUUGGAUGGUAUGAAUUGAGUUAUAUAUGUAGCAGCUGCGACUAGCUUUGAAUUAUGUAGUUAGCUUCAAAUCACUAGUAGUAGUACAUUCUGGUGUUGGACUUGUUGUUUCUGCAGGCUACUUCUUUUGGAUCUUAGACAUGUAUUGAUGGGUGUUCUAUAUAUAUAUGGACUUGUUUGAU